rnacentral:lncRNA from 1 species
AUGAUAUCACUCGUGGCCAGCAGAGAACGACUGUUCCUUCCCAGUUCCAAGGGAGCAAAAGGUUCAAGUUACCUCACCACCCCCAGAUGUACUGGCACCCUAAGAGGCACCCUUGGGCAUCUCCAUUCUAUUUACCAAGUAGAAAGUCAUAAGCAGAGAAAUCUGUGGUCCUUCCCUGUAAAACAGAGGCCUUUCCUAGGCCUCCUGGUGAUGAAGACAUACAACCAUCACAGGCUCAUCUCUCAAGGGAGCAUCGCCCAGACCCCGGCCCACAGCCCUGGGUCCACCGCUCACAAGGCCCUGCCCUGGCUCUAGCAAUGACCCCAAUUUUGGAGGAAUGAAGCCGGGUUUCACAGCCACACUGACCUUGGAGCCGAAGCCUCCUACGUCCUGCCGCUAGCGAACAGCCAAGGACUGUAAGGGUGGGGGCGGGGCCGCCCUUGAAAGGGCUCCUGGGAGGGGCGGGGCCGGGAGGGGCGGGGCCGCCUUUGAAAGGGCUCCGGGAGGGGCGGGGCCUGAGAGGCGGGGCGGGGGCCUGAGGGGCGGGGCGGGGCGGGGAGGGCGGGGCGGGGCGGGGGGGGGGGGGGGGGGGGGGGGGGGGGGGGCGGGGCCCGCCUCGGCCAAUCCCGAAACAAGUCUCAGGACGCACUUGCUCCCCAGCCUUGCCCUUGAAGGACCGGCCUCUGAUUCUUCCGCUGGUGGCAGGGGCUGGUCUCUGGCCUCUUUCUAGCUCCUACCUUUUCUCUGAAAUGUUUUCCUCCCCCAAGUCUAGUCGUGGAGGCUGCCUCUCCCAGGGCUCUGCGAGGGUUUCCUGGGCCCGCAGCCAGCUAACUGGCUGCCCAGACCUGCAGGCUCCCGCGUUGGGAGUGGGAGGACCGCGGGAAAACUGCUGCACCUAUUUGGAAAUUUGUUCCUAUCUUCCCUCAGGAGCCCAUCCCUGGGUCCCUGGUUAGCUGUGGAGAAUGGUCCUUUCUCUCCGGGACCCUCGCCUCUCCCCUCCAAGCUGAGAAAGACAUCUAAAGCUCCCUCCAGUUUCUAAUCACAUUCUGAACCAGGAACCAGGGCAUCUCCUUCCAACUAGUUAUCUGGGGAUUGGAUUCAGGGGCAAUCACCCUUCUCUUCUGGAUCAGGUCAUCUGAAGUAGAUUGCUAGACCAUACACUUUGUAUCCACACCAGCUUAAUUUACUACCAGAAGGUCCCGCAGGCCAUCACUCUGUUUAAAAAUAGCCCUCCUUGGAACAUCCACUGCAAACCGGAAAGGUUGACUGUAAAUAGCAUUGACCCACCAGCACUUUGGAGCACAGCCUGCAUUUCAGAGGGAGCUGCCCAGGCGUCUGGUGAUGGUCACGUACCCAGCUUCUA